rnacentral:rRNA from 1 species
AGACGAGGGAUCCUAGCGUUGUUCGGAAUUAUUUGGGCGUAAAGCGGGUGCAGGUGGCUCGUUUAAGUCAGGUGUGAAAUCCCAGGGCUCAACCCUGGACGUGCAUUUGAUACUGAUGAGCUUGAGUGUGGGAGAGGCUACUAGAAUUCUUGGUGUAGUGGUAAAAUACGUAGAUAUCAAGAGGAAUACCGGUGGCGAAGGCGGGUAGCUGGCCCAACACUGACACUCAGACCCGAAAGCGUGGGGAUC